rnacentral:rRNA from 1 species
UACGGAGGGGGUUAGCGUUGUUCGAAAUUACUGGGCGUAAAGCGCACGCAGGCGGUUUGUUAAGCUAGAUGUGAAAGCCCCGGGCUCAACCUGGGAUGGUCAUUUAGAACUGGCAGACUAGAGUCUUGGAGAGGGGAGUGGAAUUCCAGGUGUAGCGGUGAAAUGCGUAGAUAUCUGGAGGAACAUCAGUGGCGAAGGCGACUCCCUGGCCAAANACUGACGCUCANGUGCGAAAGUGUGGGUAGCGAACUGG